UGCUGGUGUCAUUCUGCUGAGAAAACAGCGGAGCGGUCAUCCUGAUGGAAAACACACUGAGGUUCCGUGCACGGACUCAGACCCUGCGUAACCUAGGCAUCAGGAAGCCACAAUUGGGGGCAGAAAUGUCUCAGGACACUGGCUCUGCGUGUGUGGAGUGGGCCAGGCUGGAGGCCUGCAUGUUUCCAGAUUCUUGA
rnacentral:lncRNA from 1 species